AAACCAUGAUGUGGACAUCUCCUCAAAAGUUCUUAAAAGCGCUAACACAUCUCAAACAAAGAUUCAGACUCAUAUUGUUGAAAAUUGGAGAUCUCAGUCAUCAGCUU